rnacentral:ncRNA from 1 species
CAUAUAUAUAUAUAUUAAAAAUUUAAAAUAUAUUUAUAUAUAAAUUUUAGUGUUAAUUUAUUAUUAUUUAAAUAAUAAUAAUAAUAAUAUAAAUAGUAGUAAAUAAUAUUAAAAAUUUAAGAAAUUAUGAUUUAGUUACAUUAUAAUUAUUAACAAAUUUUGUGCCAGCAGUUGCGGUUAUACAAAAAUUAAAAUAAAUUUUAUUAGUUUAUAAUAAAUAUUAAAAUUUAUAAAUUAAAUAUUAAAUUAUUAAGUGAAAUUUUAAUUUAAUUAAAAUUUAUUUUUAAUAUAUGAUUUAAUAAAUUUAAAAAUAAACUAGGAUUAGAUACCCUAUUAUUAAAAAUAUAAAUUAAAAUACUAAAAUAGUAAAUAAUUAUAUUUAUAUUUAUAUAUAUAUAUAUAUACAUAAAUAUUGAAACUUAAGUAAUUUGGCGGUAUUUUAGUUCAUUUAGAGGAAUCUGUUAAGUAAUUGAUAUUCCACGAAUAAAUUUACUUAAUUUAUUAUUUUAUAUAUCGUUGUUAAAAAAAUAUUUUUAAAUAAAAAUAAUAUUUUAAAAUUAAAAAAAGAAAUUAGUUCAGAUCAAGAUGUAGAUUAUAAUUAAGAUAAAUAAUGGAUUACAAUGAAUUUAUUUAAAUGGAUAUUAUUUUGAAAAAUAAAAUUGAAAGUGGAUUUAAAUGUAAUUUUAAUUAAUUUAUUAAAAUGAAUAAAAAUUAAGAUAUGUACAUAUUGCCCGUCACUUUCAUUUAAAAGUUGGAAUAAGUCGUAACAAAGUAGAGGUACUGGAAAGUGUUUCUAGAAAGAC